UCUUUUUUGCUGUGUCAGUUUGACGGCUAAAACCGGCAUCGGUCCAUUUCCUUCAUUUCGUCAAAUAAACAGUAACAAUACAGUACAAUGUUUUCAAAAUGCCUUUCCCAUCUAAGCAGAGAAAAGCAGCAUUAAUUCGCGAAAAUCUAAAGAGAAAAAAACGGAAUGAGUUAGGAAAGUGUGUUUCGGAUAGUGAUAACGUAAGGAAAUCAUCAGUCAAAGCUGUUGAAGAACUGCUGGUUCAAAACAAUUCUACGGAAUUUAGAAAUUUCACUGCAUCUAAUAAUUUGGUAUCAAUAGGCACAAUGGGUCGUCGAUGUGAGUUUUACUACUGCAACAGUAACGAAGGAUUAGGGAAAUCCUUUUACGGUUUCCCAACGGAUGAAAAAUUGUAAGACCUGUGUUGCAUUUAUAUAGAUGCGCAGAAUGGGUAACUUUUUGCGAAUCAAAGGAAUUAACAGCUAUUUUUAAAGCCGGAGGUGUGGAAUCGUUACGAAAACGUCGGUUAUGUUCGGAUCAUUUUCAACAAUCGGACUUUAAAGACCUAGCACAGCGACAAAAAGGAUUGCGCGGUGGUGCUACUCCCUCAUAUUUUACUGUUCCUACUACGGCAGGCACAUUCUCUGUAAAAUUUAUUAAGACUAAUUAACUUAGUAAACAACCUUUAGGUAAUACUGUAAAUAAGUUUCAUUUGAAGCAUUGUACGUUUUAUUAUUUGAAUACAUACAUUUACAAUACAUCGAA